rnacentral:sRNA from 1 species
CAACAUAACUUGUAAGGAUUCCAGUGGCAAUGAAACACAUUUUACUGGGAACGAAGUUGGUUUUUUCAAGCCCAUAUCUUGCCGAAAUGUAAAUGGCUAUUCCUACAAAGUGGCAGUCGCAUUGUCUCUUUUUCUUGGAUGGUUGGGAGCAGAUCGAUUUUACCUUGGAUACCCUGCUUUGGGUUUGUUAAAGUUUUGCACUGUAGGGUUUUGUGGAAUUGGGAGCCUAAUUGAUUUCAUUCUUAUUUCAAUGCAGAUUGUUGGACCUUCAGAUGGAAGUAGUUACAUUAUAGAUUACUAUGGAACCAGACUUACAAGACUGAGUAUUACUAAUGAAACAUUUAGAAAAACGCAAUUAUAUCCAUAAAUAUUUUUUAAAAGAAACAGUAAGUGAUAUAUAUAUAUAUAUGUAAUAUCUUAUAGUGGUAUAUUAUUCAUAUAAAAUUAUGAGAAUUUUAGGACCAUAGAAAAUUUUAAGAGACGAUAUAAACCUCUCAGGUACCCCUAUGCCUGAAACAUCUCCAAUCCUUUGA